UACGGAGGGUGCAAGCGUUAUCCGGAUUCACUGGGUUUAAAGGGUGCGUAGGUGGGUCUGUAAGUCAGUGGUGAAAUCCCCGAGCUUAACUUGGGAACUGCCGUUGAUACUAUCAAUCUUGAAUACUGUGGAGGUAAGCGGAAUAUAUCAUGUAGCGGUGAAAUGCUUAGAUAUGAUAUAGAACACCAAUAGCGAAGGCAGCUUACUACGCAGUUAUUGACACUGAGGCUCGAAAGCGUGGGGAGCAAACAGG
rnacentral:rRNA from 1 species